rnacentral:rRNA from 1 species
UAGCCUACGGGGGGCAGCAGUGGGGGAUAUUGCACAAUGGGGGAAACCCUGAUGCAGCGACGCCGCGUGUGGGAAGACGGUCCUCUGGAUUGUAAACCACUGUCCCCAGGGACGAAAAUGACGGUACCUGGGGAGGAAGCUCCGGCUAACUACGUGCCAGCAGCCGCGGUAAUACGUAGGGAGCGAGCGUUGUCCGGAAUUACUGGGUGUAAAGGGAGCGUAGGCGGGGGUGCAAGUUGGGUGUCCAAACUACCGGCUCAACUGGUAGUCGCCUUCAAAACUGCAGCGCUUGAGGUCAGCAGCGG